rnacentral:lncRNA from 1 species
GAGAAGUAAAAUUCCAGUCGCAUCGCAUUCCCAGUCAACCGCAUUGGCCAUGGGUUCGUUAGUUUCCUUUCGAAGUUCUAGUUGCCCUCUUCUUCCCCCAUCAUUCCUUCUUGCAGCUCAAUGUUGGUUCCGAGUGAGCAUCUUAUAAAAAUCGGCUGGCAUUCAAGCAUGUUGGUGCGCAUAAAGUGAGUUAAUUUUCACCAAUAAUCAGUGUUGUGUGUACCAAACUACUACUUGUUUGCAACCGCAAUUUCUUAUGUGUGGUCGUAGCUAGACUCGUAGUAGGUUACAGGUAAAAUUCCUCAACUAUUUUAUGAUCUAGCUAGGUGCUAUUGGCGAGAGAAGGCAUGAACUUCAUAGGUCUAGCUGCUAUGGUUAGUGCUUCCCAACCACCGAUUAGCCAAUGUCUUACGCACAGCAUUACUACAGCACCAACAUUGAUCAUAUAU